GAUGCAAGUUGUAGUUUAAUAAUUUCCUGAUAAAGAUGAAUUGCUGUGGGUCCAUGAUGUUUGAUCACAACUGUGAGACACUCUCCAUCUCGGAAUGUAUUUCACAUUCAAGAGGACUGAGACUGAGACAACAUUAAACCAUCAACAUUUACAGACAACAGGUGAAGCUGCCAGGCCAUGAGAACGACAGUAUGAGUGACAUGCGUUCUCUGUCUGGAGGAGAGAGAUCCUUCUCUACAGUGUGCUUCACCCCCUUCAGGACAUGCACAAUCGCCGUAUCUCAUUGGAUCUCCUCCUGGAGCUGUCAGAACGGUAGCAACCUUCAUCAGUUUUUCUUCAUCACCCCCCUAUCUAUCAGGAAGGAGGAAAUAGUAGGAAGAAGAAGUAGGGGAAAUAAGUAGGAGGCAUACAGUGCAUUCGGAAAGUAUUCAGACCCCUUGACCUUUUCCAC